GCAUGCGCCACCAGGUACUAAUCAAGUACCUUGUUGUGUUACCCUUUUUGCUUGACUUCUUAUCUAUCUUCACCUCGGUUUGAAUCAGUCCAUGAGCCUCUAUUCACCUCGAUCUAUUUACCUUGCUGUAAGAAGAACAAAAUGUUUGUGUAAACACCCAAGUUAAUCAAAACUAAUUAGAUCAAUUGCAAAAGCUUGUAAAAGUUUCUAUGAAUGACAUCUACGGCUGGUACUAGAUCUAACAUGCCAAGAAUCAAAUCCUAAGUACUAGUAACUUGCUAAGACAUGUAUGUGUGUAUCCAAAAGAUCAAUCUUCCUGUGUAUACUACCUUGUUCUAAUUAUUAAUCCCCGCCAAUCUGUAGCAAACAUUGAGUGAUUGAUGUUUAUAAUCUACUCACAAGUAAUUAAUUUUGGAGUUUCACUGCCACUAUUUGCUUCUAUAUGGUGUUCAAGGAUGAGUAGCACUAGUUAGGAACAACAUUUAGAUCUAAUCAGUAGCAAUACCAUGACCACGCCAUAGAUUAAAUCUUGAUUAAUUUCGUGGCCUUGAGAUAAACAAAGAGAAUGAAGGCAAUAUGGCUGAGUGGGCAGUAGUAGGGCCUGAGAUAAAAUGAACAAUAUAUGCACACCCACGUUGACAUCUAGCAAGCACUUGAUGUGAAAUUUGGAACACUUGAUGGAGAAGGAAUUAGAAUUAGUACUUACCAGUAGUAGCAGCAGAUUGUGGCUAGUCCACACCGUUAGCAGCAGAGCCAUGUGACCGAGCAGCGCCGGUGAAGCCGCACACGCCCGACGCCCGUGGUUGCACGCCUCGUGCGUGUGGCUACGCUGGGGGAGGAUAUAGGCAUGGAGACGUCAUUGCCCUGCAGCCGGUGGCAAGCCCACCGGACCUGAAUUAGGCGGCGGUAGGAUUGAGUGGUGGCGACGUUUUUGGCGGCGGUGGAUAAAGUAAAUAGGGGGAAAUGGUAGAGGGAGACGAGGAGAAUCUAUAGGUGUACACCGUGUCGCCGGAGAUGCCCGGAUGGGGCAGAUCGAGGCGGCGGCGGCCAUGCUCUGUUCUUAGGGAGAGAGAGAGAGAGGUGGAUGGUUGGUUCUGUUCUUGGGAUAGCAGAGAACACGAGGAGAGAAAUGAGCUGGGUUCAACGAGUAAGAGCAUCUCCAGCCGCCCCCAACAGGCCCUCCAGGCGACUUUUUCAGUGCCGGCGCCAAAAAAACGUCCAAUCGCGCCCCCAGGACGACGAAAAGUGCCGGUUCAGCCCUUUUUUCCGCCCGGCGGCCACAGGUCUUACCCGGCGCACUGGGGGCGAUCGGGGGCUCCGGCACAAGGGAAAAGCGCGGCUGGCCCAUGUCGUCAGGUGAAAAGUCAAGAUUUUCUUCCCCGACUCGCCUCCCACCCCUCCCCCCUCCCGCGCCCUCGGCCGCCACAAGCUAUAUCCCGGUGCCGCCCCGCCGCCCUUCACCGCUAGAUAGCCAUUCCUCGCCGGAAAAAUAGCAGAGGUUCACCGCGGCAGCCCCUCCGACAGCAGUUGGGCGUUUCCGGCCGCCGUUUUCGGCCGCGGAGGGGCAGUUUAGCGGCGGGUGCAUGCCCACCGGGCGCAAGGUGUUCGGUGAUUUGCCUGCUUCGGCGAUGGACUCGGAUGACGAGGAAGCACUCGCCACGCUACUGGAGGAGGAAGCCGAGGCCGACGUCCAGGAAGAAAGACCAUCUCAUGGUGCUCGCCGCUGCUACGUCUUGAGCUUGUGUUGGUUUUCCUUGAAGAGGAAAGGGUGAUGCAGCAAUAGUAGCGUAAGUAUUUCCCUCAGUUUUUGAGAACCAAGGUAUCAAUCCAGUAGGAGGCUCCUCAAAAGUCCCACACACCUACACAAACAAACAAAGAACUCGCAACCAACACAAUAAAGGGGUUUGCAAUCCCUUCACGGCCACUUGCGAAAGUGAGAUCUGAUAGAGAUAGUAUGAUAAGAUAAAUAUAUUUUGGUAUUUUAUAAUAUAGAUGCGAAAAGUAAAGAUGCAAAUAAAGGUAGAUUGAAAGCUUAUAUGAUAAAAGAUAGACCCGGGGGCCAUAGGUUUCACUAGUGGCUUCUCUCAAGAUAGCAUAAGUAUUAAGGUGGGUGAACAAAUUACUGUUGAGCAAUUGAUACAAAAUCGAAUAAUUAUGAGAUUAUCUAGGCAUGAUCAUGUAUAUAGGCAUCACGUCCGUGACAAGUAGACCAACUCCUGCCUGCAUCUAUUACUAAUACUCCACACAUCGACCGCUAUCCAGCAUGCAUCUAGAGUAUUAAGUUCAUAAGAAUAGAGUAACGCAUUAAGAAAGAUGACAUGAUGUAGAGGGAUAAACUCAAGCAAUAUGAUAUAAACUCCAUCUUUUUAUACUCGAUAGCAACAAUACAAUACGUGCCUUGCAACCCUUUCUGUCACUGGGUAAGGACACUGUAAGAUUGAACCCAAAGCUAAGCACUUCUCCCAUGGCAAGAAAGAUCAAUCUAGUAGGCCAAACCAAACUGAUAAUUCGAAGAGACUUGCAAAGAUAACUCAAUCAUACAUAAGAGAAUUUAGAGAAGAUUCAAAUAUUUCUCAUAGAUAAACUUGAUCAUAAACCCACAAUUCAUCGGAUCUCGACAAACACACCGCAAAAAGAGUUUACAUCGAAUAGAUCUCCACAAGAGAGGGGGAGAACGUUGUAUUGAGAUCAAUGAAUAGAGAAGAAGCCAUGUUGCUAAUAACUAUGGACCCGAAGGUCUGUGGUAAACUACUCACAACUCAUCGGAGGGGCUAUGGUGUUGACGUAGAAGCCCUCCGUGGCCGAUUCCCCCUCCGGCGGAGCACCGGGGAACGCUCCAAGAUGGGAUCUUGCGGAUACCGAAGGUUAUGGCGGUGGAAAUUGUUUUUCAUUGGCUCCCUGGAUGUUUUCAGGGUACGUAGGUAUAUAUAGGAUGAAGAAGUACGUCGUGGCCGCUCGUGGGGCCCAAGAGACAGGGGGCGCGCCCAGGAGGAGUGGGUGCGCCCUGCUAUCUCCUGGCUGCCUUGAUUGCUUCUUGACUUGCACUCCAAGUCCUAUGGAUCACGUUCGUUCCAAAAAUCACGCUCCCGAAGGUUUCAUUCCGUUUAGACUCCGUUUGAUAUUCCUUUUCUUCGAAAUACUGAAAUAGGCAAAAAAACAGCAAUACGGGCUGGGCCUCCGGUUAGUAGGUUAGUCCCGAAAAUAAUAGAAAUGUGUAAAAUAAAGCCCAUAAAUAUCCAAAAGGGGUAAUAUAAUAGCAUGGAACAAUAAAAAAUUGUAGAUACGUUGGAGACGUAUCAAGCAUCCCCAAGCUUAAUUCCUGCUCGUCCUCGAGUAGGUAAAUGAUAAAAACAGAAUUUUUGAUGUGGAAUUCUACCUAGCAUAAUUCUCAAUGUAAUUUUCUUUAUUGUGGCAUGAAUGUUCAGAUCCAAAUGAUUCAAAAUAAAAGUUCAUAUUGACAUAAGAAAUAGUAAUACUUCAAGCAUACUAACUAAGCAAUCAUGUCUUCUCAAAAUAACAUGGCUAAAAAAGUUCAUCCCUACAAAAUCAUAUAGUUAGGCUAUGCUUCAUUUUCGUCACACAAAAAUGUUCCCAAAUUCUACACCCCCGAUGACAAGCCAAGUAAUUGGUUCGUACUUAAAUAAUCUCAAACUUUUCAACUUUCACGCAAUACAUGAGCGUGAGCCAUGGAUAUAGCACUAUGGGUGGAAUAGAAUAUGAUAAUGGGGAUUGUGUGGAGAAGACAAAAAAGGAGAAAGCUUCGCAUUCACGAGGAUAAUCAAUGGGCUAUGGAGAUGCCCAUCAAUUGAUGUCAACAUGACGAGUAGGGAUUGCCAUGCAACGGAUGCACUAGAACUAUAAAUGAAUGCUCAACAAAACAAAACUAGUGGGUGUGCAUCCAACUUGCUUGCUCACGAAGACCUAGGGCAAUUGAGGAAGCCCAUCGUAGGAAUAUACAAGCCAAGUUCUAUAAUGAAAAAUUCCCACUAGUAUAUUAAAGUUACAACCUAUGAGACUCACUAUAUGAAAAAUAUGGUGCUAUUUUGAAGCACAAUAUAUGAGACUCACUACAUGAAGAACAUGGUGCUACUUUGAAGCACAAGUGUGGAAAAAGAGAUAGUAACAUUGCCCCUUUUAUUUAUUUAUUUCUUUUUCUUUUUUCCCCUUUUUGGGCCUUUUUUUGGCCUUUCUUUUUUUUCUUUGGGACAAUGCUCUAAUAAUGAUGAUCAUCACACUUUUAUUGAUUACAACACAUGAAUUACAACUCAAAACUAGAACAAGAUAUGACUCUAUAUGAAUGCCUCCGAUGGUGUACCGGGAUGGUGCAAUGAAUCAAGAGUGACAUGUAUGAAAAAGUAUGCAUGGUGGCUUUGACACAAAUACGAUGUCAACUACAUAAUCAUGCAAUGGAAAUAUGACAAAAGUAAUGUAUGUCAUGAUGAUGAACGGAACGGUGGAAAGUUGCAUGGCAAUAUAUCUCGGAAUGGCUAUGGAACUGCCAUAAUAGGUAGGUAUGGUGGCUGUUUUGAGGAAGAUAUAAGGAGGUUUAUGUGUGAUAGAGCGUAUCAUAUCACGGGGUUUGGAUGCACCGGCGAAGUUUGCACCAACUCUCAAGGUGAGAAAGGGCAAUGCACGGUACCAAAGAGGCUAUCAAUGAUGGAAAGGUAAAAGUGUGUAUAAUCCAUGGACACAACAUUAGUCAAAAGAACUCAUAUACUUAUUGCAAAAAUUUAGAAGUCAUCAAAAACCAAGCACUACGCGCAUGCUCCUAGAGGGAUAGAUUGGUAGGAAAAGACCAUCGCUCGUCCUCGACCGCCACUCAUAAGGAUGCACAAGCCAGGUACACUUCAUGUUUCAAAUUUGUUACACAACUUUAACCAUACGUGCAUGCACCGGGACUUGCUAACUUCAACACAAGCAUUCUUUAAAUUCAUAAUCACCCAACUAGCAUGACUUUAAUAUCACUACCUCCAUAUCUCAAAACAAUUAUCAAGUAUCAAAUUGAUCAUAGCAUCCAAUUCACUUCCUAUGAUAGUUUUUAUUAUACCCAACUUGGAUGCCUACCAUUCCAGGACCAAUUUUAUAACCAAAGCAAAUAGCAUGAUGUUCUAAAAGACUCUCAAAAUAAUAUAAGUGAAUCAUGAGAGAUUAGCAAUUUCUACAAAAUUAAGCCACCGCCAUGCUCUAAAAGAUAUAAGUGAAGCACUAGAGCAAAAACUAUCAAGCUCAAAAGGUAUAAGUGAAGCACAUAGCAUAUUCUAAUAAAUUCAAUCAAGUAGGCUUCUCCCAAAAGGUGUGUAUAGCAAGGAUGAUUGUGGAAAACUAAAAAGCAAAGACUAAUAUAAUACACGACGCUCCAAGCAAAACACAUAUCAUGUGGCGAAUAAAAAUAAAGCUCCAAGUAAAGUUACCAAUGAACAAAGACGAAAGAGGGGAUGCCUUCCCGGGGCAUCCCCAAGCUUAGGCUUUUGGCUAUCCUUGAAUAUCUUGGGGUGCCAUGGGAAUCCCCAAGCUUACGCUCUUGCCACUCCUUAUUCCAUAGUGCAUCAAAGCUUUACCCAAAACUUGAAAACUUCACAACACAAAACUCAACAGGAAAUCUUAUAAGCUCCGUUAGUGAAACAAAACAAAACCACCACAUAAGGUAAUGUAAUGAACUCAUUAUUUAUUUAUUUUGCUGUUAAACCUACUGUAUUCCAACUUCUCUAUGGUUUAUAAACUAUUUUACUAGACAUAGAUGCAUCAAAAUAAGCAAACAACACACGAAAAACAGAAUAUGUCAAAAACAAAACAGUCUGUAGCAAUCUGUAACUAACGCAAAUUUCUGGAACUUUAAAACUCCUACCAAAAUAGGAAGUCCUGGAAAAAUUGCCUAUUGAUCAGUAGCAAAAAAUAAUUAACGCAAAAGAAAGUUUUUGUGAUUUAACAAAACUAAUUUCGUGCGUUCAAGGUUUCUGUUUUUCAGCAGAACCAAAUCAACUAUCACCAUAGGUUAUCCUAUAGGUUCUACUUGGCACAAACACUAAUUAAAACAUAAAAACACAUCUAAACAGAAGGUAGAUGCAAAAUUUAUUACUAAACAGAAACAAAAACAAAAAACACAAAUAAAAUUGGGUUGCCUUCCAACUAGCACUAUCGUUUAACGCCCUUAGCUAGGCUUAAAAGCGAAGAUAGAUCUAAGUAGUGCCAUCUUUGGCACUCAAUUCAUAAGUAGCUCGCAUGAUAGAUUCAUAAGGUAAUUUGACUUUAUUUAUUGGAAAGUUCCCCAUGCCUUUCCUUAAUGGAAAUUGGAAUCUAACAUUCCCUUCCUUCAUAUGAAUAAUCGCACCAAUCGUUCUAAGGAAAGGUCUACCAAGAAUAAUAGGGCAAGAAAGAUUGCAAUCUAUAUCAAGAACGAUAAAAUCUACGGGAACCAAAUUUCUAUUUGCAACAAUGAGAACAUCAUUGAUCCUCCCCAUUGGCUUUUUAAUGGUCGAAUCUGCAAGGUGCAAAUUUAAAGAGCAAUCAUCAAGAUCAUGGAAACCUAGAAUAUCACAUAAAGUUUUCGGAAUCGUGGAAACACUAGCACCCAAAUCAUACCGAGCAAAACACUAAUGAUAUUUAAUUAUAAUCUUUAUAGUAGGUUCCCACUCAUCAUUAACUUUUCUAGGUAUAGAAACUUCCAAAUUAAGUUUUUCAUCAUAAGAUUGCAUCAAGGAUAUGUUUGGUAAAAGCUUUAUUUUGACUAUAAGCAUGAGGAGAAUUAACAAGGGAUUGCAACAAGGAAAUACAACCUUCUAAAGAGCAAUUACCACAAUCAAAUUCCUUGAAAUCCGAGAUAGUGGGUUCAAUACUAUUUAAAGUCAUGACCUCUCCAAUCCCACUUUACCAAAUCUAGCAUCAAGAUCUAAAAACUCCGAAUUAUUGGGACGCCUUCUAACUAAAGUUGACUCAUCUACAGUCCCAUCAUUAUCAAGUUUCAUAUUGCAAAACAAAGAUCUAAUAGGAGACACAUCAAUAACUUUAAGAUCUUCAUCAUUAUUUUCAUCUAACUUUUCUGGUUUGGCGGCCAUCUUAUCGACUAAGGUGGCUUGCUUAUCAGAAGCUUUAUGUCUUUAUUCAUAUCAUCAAGCUCCUUAUUCAUAAACCCCAAAAAACCUUUUUGUUCUUUAAGCUCUUUUCUGAAGAAAUUAUUAUGCUCAGAUUGAAAAGUCAUAAAGCUUCUAAUGUUCGAUUCAAUCUCUUCCAACCUUAUAAGAAGGAGGUCGGUACUCUUAGGCAAAGCCAUAAGGACAAACAGGAACACAAGCAAACAGAAAAAGGCAAGCGAAAAAGAGAAGAGGAGAAGAUUGGGAAAGAGAGGGCGAAUAAAACGGCAAGGGUGAAGUGGGGGAGAGGAAAACGAGAGGCAAAUGGCAAAUAAUGUAAAUGCGAGGGAGAUAAGUUUGUGAUGGGUACUUGGUAUGUCUUGACUUGAGCGAAGACCUCCCCGGCAACGGCACCAGAAAUCCUUCUUGCUACGUCUUGAGCUUGUGUUGGUUUUCCUUGAAGAGGAAAGGGUGAUGCAACAAUAGUAGCAUAAGUAUUUCCCUCAGUUUUUGAGAACCAAGGUAUCAAUCCAGUAGGAGGCUCCUCAAAAGUCCCACACACCUAAACAAACAAAGAACUCGCAACCAACGCAAUAAAGGGGUUGUCAAUCCCUUCACGGCCACUUGCGAAAGUGAGAUCUGAUAGAGAUAGUAUGAUAAGAUAAAUAUAUUUUUGGUAUUUUAUAAUAUAGAUGCGAAAAGUAAAGAUGCAAAUAAAGGUAGAUUGAAAGCUUAUAUGAUAAAAGAUAGACCCGGGGGCCAUAGGUUUCACUAGUGGCUUCUCUCAAGAUAGCAUAAGUAUUACGGUGGGUGAACAAAUUACUGUCAAGCAAUUGAUAGAAAAGUGAAUAAUUAUGAGAUUAUCUAGGCAUGAUCAUGUAUAUAGGCAUCACGUCCGUGACAAGUAGACCGACUCCUGCCUGCGUCUACUACUAUUACUCCACACAUCGGCCGCUAUCCAACAUGCAUCUAGAGUAUUAAGUUCAUAAGAACAGAGUAACGCAUUAAGAAAGAUGACAUGAUGUAGAGGGAUAAAGUCAAGCAAUAUGAUAUAAACCCCAUCCUUUUAUCCUUGAUGGUAACAAUACAAUACGUUCCUUGCAACUCUUUCUGUCACUGGGUAAGGACACCGCAAGAUUGAACCCAAAGCUAAGCACUUCUCCCAUGGCAAGAAAGAUCAAUCUAGUAGGCCAAACCAAACUGAUAAUUCGAAGAGACUUGCAAAGAUAACUCAAUCAUACAUAAAAGAAUUCAGAGAAGAUUCAAAUAUUUCUCAUAGAUAAACUUGAUCAUAAACCCACAAUUCAUCGGAUCUCGACAAACACACUGCAAAAAGAGUUUACAUCGAAUAGAUCUCCACAAGAGAGGGGGAGAACAUUGUAUUGAGAUCCAAAAAGAGAGAAGAAGCCAUCUAGCUAAUAACUAUGGACCCGAAGGUCUGUGGUAAACUACUCACAACUCAUCGGAGGGGCUAUGGUGUUGAUGUAGAAGCCCUCCAUGGUCGAUUCCCCCUCCGGCGGAGCGCCGGUGAAGGCUCCAAGAUGGGAUCUCGCGGAUACAGAAGGUUACGGCGGUGGAAAAUGUUUUUUGUUGGCUCCCUGGAUGUUUUUGGGGUACGUAGGUAUAUAUAGGAGGAAGAAGUACGUCGGCGCCCUCCUAUCUCCUGGCCACCUCGAUUGCUUCUUGACUUGCACUCCAAGUCCUCUAGAUCACGUUCGUUCCAAAAAUCACGCUCCCGAAGGUUUCAUUCCGUUUGGACUCCGUUUGAUAUUCCUUUUCUUCGAAAUACUAAAAUAGGCAAAAAAAUAGCAAUACAGUCUGGGCCUUCGGUUAGUAGGUUAGUCCCAAAAAUGAUAUAAAUGUGUAAAAUAAAGCCCAUAAACAUCCAAAAGGGGUAAUAUAAUAGCAUGAAACAAUCAAAAAUUAUAGAUACAUUGGAGACGUAUCAACCGCCCUCGCCCAACUGCUGGCGAGCAAUGAAAAUCCGCGGCGAGGUGGCUCGACGCCGGGGCGGGUGAAAGCAAAGAACCGGCAUCGUCUCGAAGGCUACUGCAUGCUCUACUCCGACUACUUCGCCGAUGCUCCACUUCACGGCGACAAAACAUUUCGGCGCCGUUAUCGGAUGAGCCGAAAGCUCUUCCUUAGGAUUGUGAAUUCCAUCCGGGAGUUCGACAACUACUUCAAAUGCAAGAUGGAUUGCACCAGCAAACUUGGAUUAACCUCGAUCUAGAAGUGCACGAUAGCGAUGAGGAUGCUUGCAUACGGAGCUCCCGGUGACUCACAGGACGACUAUGGGCGCAUGGCCGAGUCCACCAGCAUAGAGUGUUUCUAUAAGUUCUGUCGGGCAGUGGUGGUAGUGUUUGGACCGCAAUACUUGAGAACACCCAAUGCGGAAGAUACUGCUCGGAUCCUAGCACAAAAUGCAGCAAGAGGAUUUCCUGGGAUGUUUGGAAGCAUCGACUGCAUGCAUUGGAAAUGGAAGAAUUUCCCAUUUGCUUGGCAGGGGAUGUACAAAGGCGCCAAAGGCGGUUGCAGUGUGGUACUUGAGGUGGUGCCCACACAGGACCACUGGAUUUGGCACUCCUUCUUUGGUAUGCCAGGAACUCACAAUGACAUCAACGUGCUGUAGUGCUCUCCUGUCUUUGCAAAGCUUGUUGAAGGUCAUUCUCCUCCGGUGAACUUCAAGAUCAAUGGGCGGCACUACAACAAGGGGUACUAUCUAGCUGAUGGCAUCUAUCCAAGAUGGUCGACAUUUGUGAAGACCAUCACAAACCCUGUGCCAGGAGGCAAGAACGUCUGAUUUGCGAAGAUUCAGGAGGCUUGCAGGAAGGAUGUCGAGCGGGCAUUUGGUGUGCUCCAAUCUCUAUUUGCUGUUGUCCGGUACCCCGCUCAGACCUGGUCCAAAGAUCAAAUGUGGGAUAUCAUGACCUGUUGUGUCAUCUUGCACAACAUGAUCAUUGAGAGCGAGCAUGAAGAGCCAGUGUUUCACACUGAACCAUACCACAGGUAGGGUCAUCUUGCCCAAGUUGAUCACCAGCUACCGGCAACUUGGACUGCCUACCUCAGUAUGCGUCAGGAGAUCCGAGACCCACAAGUGCAUCAUCAACUGCAGCAAGAUCUGAUAGAGCACCUAUGGAGGCUCAAGGGCGACGCCGGGCGCGACGUGUGAUGAAAUAUGAGUUUUUAUUUGUUGAACUAUAUAAUUUGUAUUAAACUAUUUGUUGUUGUACUAUUUUGUUGAAGUAUUUGAUUUUUCUGUGAUGAAAUAUGUGAUAAAAAAUAUAUUUAUGUUGGUAACUGAACGCCGAGCCACGACGAACCAUGCCGAAUAUGGGCCUAUUCUCGCCCAUAUGGGACCUUUUCGCCGAAAUGGGGCUUGAAAAGUGGGCCAACAUCGGCAUCUGGGGGCGAGCUCGGGGAGACGACUGGGCGCAAAACCGCCCCCAGCGCCGAAUGUAUCACCAGCNNNNNNNNNNNNNNNNNNNNNNNNNNNNNNNNNNNNNNNNNNNNNNNNNNNNNNNNNNNNNNNNNNNNNNNNNNNNNNNNNNNNNNNNNNNNNNNNNNNNNNNNNNNNNNNNNNNNNNNNNNNNNNNNNNNNNNNNNNNNNNNNNNNNNNNNNNNNNNNNNNNNNNNNNNNNNNNNNNNNNNNNNNNNNUUUUUACUCGCGGGACUGAAUGGCAUACAUGCAUGCUACUCUGAUUUGGAUAGCUUGAUGCAUUUUAUCUCUCAAUGAAACACUAGGACGUAUCACAACCUAGUUAAUUAAUUAUGGCUUGCCCAACAUGGCCGUGUUGCUAGAUCUUUAGAUUUUAAAUUAGGAAAUAUAAACAUGUUUGUGAAAUAAUUAUCAGGAGCAGAUCUCGGAUCCGUCGGAGCCACGCCCGGUGGUUCCGAGUUUGUCGAAGCACUAUCCGGCAAGUCGUCAUCUCCUUGACCAUGUCUUGGUAAAUGUUUUUCGGGUUAUGGGUCAUUUCCAAAAUUUUGCAUACGAAUUAAAUAUAAAUAUUUUUCAUAAAUAAAAUGAAAUUUGGAUCAGGUGGAUCCACUGAUUUGGCAAUUGGACCAGAUCAGGUGAAGCAUCUGUAUUAAGUAGCAGUGACCCGGGUAGGGUUACAAUAUAAAUAAAUAUUUGGUGGGUAGGGGAGCUCAUGUUGGUGAAAGCAACCAAGGGAGGGUAGGCUUGGAUGGCAGGCUCCUCUACAUAGGGUAUCACAUUAGGACACAACCAACUAGCGCUUACUUCAAAAGCGGCGCAAGUAGCUGCCUCUGCAUGGCUGAGAAGGUGGUUGUAGCUGGGUAGGUACAAUCACCCUAGGGCGGGACCAUCGGUCAAGGGUCUCGACUCGCGGGCCUUUAGUAAGGCAAGGUGGAAAAGCAGAGGUAGUGUACGGGCUGGUUAAAGGUUCUGGUUCCUUUGUCUUGUCGUGUGCACGGGUAGCACAUGAACGACUUGGACCAAGUGAUGCUAUGGGCAAAGCAGUACACCUCUGAUCAGAGUAAAUGUGAUAUCACUCCCAGCUUCCGGGUUUGGAAGUGCGUCGUGUGGGUUUUCGUCUAACACAGGAUUUAAGAUCCGACGUCGCUUUGUCUCCUGUAGAUUUUAUAAAUAAAAUUUGGUUUUCAACAAAAUGGGUUAAGAGAAAAUAUUUUUACUUACAAAGUAUUUUGAGCUAAUGGCUCGAUGGUUGUAGCCGUGGCCGAUAAAGUUUUUCCUCUUUAAAGACUCAUGCAUCCACUUUUCCAGGUGACUUGCGAAGUACGUAUUUUAUACGUACUCAGUUGCACUUAUGUUGUUUUUCAGAACAAGAGAGUUAUGAGAACUCUAAGGCGAUAGAGAAUGGUACUUAUGAUGAGUCUGGUCAUAUUAAUGACUUCGGUUAUUCUGAAGUGGAGAAUGUUUAUGAGGAAGUCGACAAUCAAGGCUAUGAAGAGUAGAUGCCUACCAUGGUUGGUCUAGAAGGCUCGUAACUAGAAAUGGAUGACGAUCUAUCGUCAUGGUCGCUUAGUCUUAGUCGACACUUCAGGUGUCAAUGUAAUACAAGCUUGCCUACUCAUGGCAGCUGCACCGUCUUGUAUAUGAUACUGUUCUCCUUAACUGAUCCUGGCGCAACUCUGAAGUGACGGCUUCCGUUACGCCUGACUUUGUCGGACGUAACAGGGCGUCACGGAAGAGGUGGUAUCAGAGCCACGCCAAGGAAGCAGUCAUGUACUUAGUUAGAGACUGUCCGAGCCCUAGGAAAGAUAUGUUUGCUCCUUACCUAAAAUAAAAUAAGAGUUUUCAAAAAAAAAUCAUCCCUUCUCAAGUUCUACCUCUCCUAUGUAUAUAUACGUUUUGUGUAAAAAUAUAACUCAAGUCAAGUGAAGAUUAAAUAAUUUAGACCACACAAUAUAACUAACUAAAUUCUUAAUUGCUUAAUGUAGGAUGACGAGUGGUAGGUUGUUUGGUAUGGGUGCUGAGUAUGGUGGUUUUGCUCUGUUCUUGGUUGAGCUUCUUGGUCUUCUCGGUGUGUUGAUUGCACCAUACUACACAGUGUUUCACGACCCGUGUUCCACGGGGUACUUAGUCAUGGUGCACAUUCCUGAGAGCUUAGAUGUCCCUUCUAGGUUCAGUGUUGCAUGUUACGACUUUGUUUCAGCACUUCAGGGUGCGGCACGGGAUGCCGCUUUACACCUUUUCCAUGCCUACCACCCUUUCCUUGAGUACGUGGGCAGAGGCGAGUGGCCUCAUCAGUUAGAGGAGGCAGGGUGUUCGUCUGCACCUACGCCCACUGUCGCUCCUUCGCCUUUUGCGUCCACUUCCGCUUUCCCUCCACUUCCACCACGUCCUCUUGUCUUACCUCCCACAUUUUUACCACCACCAGCUCCGACUGCCGCUCGUCCACCUCUGUACCUGACGGUCCCACCCACUCGUGCAGACCGCCCAUCUCCUAGAGUCUCAAGGGGUUCCUCCUCUCGAGCAGUGUCACGUCCCUCGACACCGUACGAGCGUCCACCUACACCUCAGCUUGUUCAGGACCUGUUAGAUCAGGUUGACACUCUUCAGAGGCGCUGCUCCGAGCUCGAGCGGGCGAACAACGAGCUGUCCUCUGCAUUGAGGGGCUACACCCGUCCGGGUAUGGCCCUCAACCCUCUUCAGAUCGACAGCUCACCUUCCGCCUCUCGAGGCAAGAUAGGGUACCCGAUUGACUAGUGGUCUCUUGUCACCGACGAGCCUUCCUCUCAGGUUCCUCCUACCCUGAGUUCCGUUGUAGUGCCACCACCUACAGAGCACACUCCCCACACUCCACCAGGUUCUCCGCCCUCCAUCCCUGCUCCAUCUUCUCUUGAUGGCACCCCCGAGUUUUCAGUGAUCGGCGUCACUUACUCAGAGCUUCUAGCACUUGACUCCCGCCAGGUGUCUUCUCAGCCCAUGGAGUACCUUCGUGUCGCUUCUGAGGUCACUCCCUCUGAGCACACUCCUUCUGAGUACCCGCUUAGCACCAUCAGCGUACCCGAGUCUGAUGCUGCUGCACCGAGUGUGUCUCUACCUGCACCGACUUCUGCCCUCGACCCCGACUUGCUCCUCACCGUUUCACCUAGUACUCUUGUCAGGGAGGAUUGACUUGCUACCAGUAGUAGUAGUAGUUAGUAUUCUGGCAAGGUUGUAGCAUCGUGCUAGAUAGCUACUCCUCCCAGAGUUAGUUUCGCCACUUAUUAGAGGUUUAGGCAGAUGCAUGGAGGUUGUCCUUUUGGAUCUUGUACAUAUCUGGAAAGGUCUUGUAGACGUAGCUACCCUUCCAGAGUUUGCACAGCCGUAGUUAGUCAGACUAGUUCCGACGGACUGAUUGGUCGGCAGAUAUACUUUUGUUCCAGGUACACGUGUAGAUAGCUGUGGUAGCCUGAUGAUGCAUGACAUAGAGUCAUAUGUGGUGUUGCAACUAUGUUAUGUGAUGUAUCCAUGUGGACUGGUGGACUUAUGCAUGUACUAAUAUUCUAUUACUAGAUGAUCUCGUGUGAUGCAGGCGCCAUGCCUCCAUGUUCAUUUUUUAUAUAUAUUUUUAUGCAUUCCUAACUCUGUUGAAUGGAAUAUUGUAUGUGAUGAUGCUGCUACAUUGCUGCUAGUACUUCAUAAUGACAUGUGAUGUAUGGUAAAUUUUAUUUGGUGAUCUCCUUCACUCAAUUACAUGCCUUGAUACAUCACAUUUUUCCUAGCACUUCAUGAGUUCAAAUGAUGUAUGUCCGACACUUGAUGCGUAUAUGCUUUUAGUCAUGUACGUGAAGAGCUUGUGUGUGGGCGUGCAUGUGCAAGUGGCUCUAUUUUUUUUUACCUUAUGAUUAAUCUCUUGUCUCCGUUAUGAUAAAAAAAUCAAUUUGUCUGACUGUAUUUAUUCUUUGGCCAACAACCAGUAAAAAAAUCUAGUAUGCCUUAAGUGCACUGAUUAAAGUGAUGCUCAAAGAAUAAUAAAGGAAGGUAAGCGUGAUGCGUACUGUUUGAGCUAAAAUCUCAUCGCUAAUUAAACAAAUAAAAUUAUUUUACAUAAACUAGCUAUCGUAAUAACCUAUGUCUUGCCCACCAGUUUGGUAGCGAUGGCAUCUAGUAGUCAGUCGUUCGAAGACAAUGGGAACCCAUCAGAUUUAGCACCUGAGUCGCUAAGGAACAUGGCAGAUUUGCUGUCUAGAGUGAUGUUACCUCCACCGCCAUCAUUACCCCCUCAUGCCUCGGGAUCCGAUCAACUUGCUCUAAUGUACCAGUGGAUGGAGCAAUCUCGUCGAGACUCUCUAGAACACCAAAAUAAGUUCAUGGAACAAAUGUUUGAUAUGAUCUGAGGCCAACUGACUAAAAACUCAGAACAAGGUGUCACGAUUGGAGACUUCCAAAAGACUAGACCACCAACCUUUUCAACUGCCACAUAUCCAUUAGCCGUAGAUGAUUGGUUGAUGGACAUAGAGCUGAAACUUAACACCGUGGGAUGCACGGAUCAAGAAAAGGUUUGGUAUGCAUCCCAUCAGUUAAUUAGUCCUGCUGCCACAUGGUGGAGAAAUGUCCAAAUUAUCUUACCAGAAAACCACAGUCACUUGGGACGAAUUUAAGAGGAUAUUCCAAGAUAACUAUGUCCCGCAAAGUGCGAAGGAAAUAAAAAGGAAGGAAUUCCUGAACCUUAAUCAAGGGUCUAAAACCAUCGCAGAGUACCUAGAUGAAUUUAACUCACUAUCCCGCUAUGCACCAGAGGACACAAAUACUGAGACCAAAAAGGUGUACCGGUUCAUAGAAGGACUGAACCCAUCCAUACAACUUAUUAUAGCUCCUAUAAAAAUAACUGAGUUCUAGGAGCUAGUAGACCGAGUCAUUACAAUCGAGAACCGGAAAAUCGCCGUAGAGGAAGAGCACAGGAAGAAAGCUAGGAUGGACCCAAGGUUUGCCGUGAGAAGUGGAAAUCGUCAUGUUGGCCUAGUCCGCGUGCCAAUGGUCGGGCCCAUCCGUCCUCCUUUCCGUCAAGCUCCUAGACCACCUUUUAUGCCUCCAAGAGCCCCUAUCAAAUGUCGCGUGUGCAAUGGACCACACUUGGCUCGAGAUUGCCCAAAGGCGAGUGUUGUUUGUUUUGGUUGUGGACAAAAGGGACACUACAAAAACCAGUGCCCAAGCAAGAGUCAACCACAAUCUGGCACAAAUGGAGUUGUCCCACCUCAAAAUAAGUGUCAGGCUAAUUCAAUCCAAGUACACGGGAAUGCGUCUACUGCCAACCGCGGGCAUGGUCGUGGCGGUCUCACACGUGGACCAUUCUGCCUGGCACAUAUGGAUGUGGCACAAGUGGAGUCAGCUUUAGACAUAGUGACGGGUAACCUACUAAUCCCUCCUGGAGUAGGACUAGUAUUGUUUGACCCAGGAGCAACACAUUCUUUCAUAUCACAACGCUUUGUUGAGAUGCAUAAUCUGGACCGGACCCCCCUAGCCAAACCCAUAAAAGUAGAUUCACCAGGAGGCCCAAUAAUUGUGGAGCAUGUCUGCCACAACCGUCCCAUUUGCAUUGAGGGCAUAACCUUUAAUGCUAGCCUAUUUUUAAUUGGCUUAAGAGGAUUAGACGUUAUCCUUGGAAUGGAUUGGUUAGCGAGUCAUGGAGCAAGAAUGGACUGUGUAGAAAAAUCCAUAUCCUUGUGACGCCUGGGUAAUUAAACUACAGUAACCAUCUACUAAUGAUGCCACGUCACCUUGAUUACUGUUGCUAAUCUCGUGUUAGUUUAGAACCGAUCCAAAUUCAAAUUUAAGAUCAAGUCGAACAAUUAAAGUUUUCAAAAGUGAAAACUAAAAUGUUGUAAAUAAGUAAAUCCUAGGUAAUAAUGGUGGAGAAACCUAAAUUUAAUAAAAUGUUUAAGUGUUCAAAAUAAUUAAAACUAUGGGUUAAAUAAUAAAACAAAUGCCUUUGGAAUUUUAUCAAAUAUUAAACUAUUUUAAUUGGGAUGAAAAGUAAUGUGGCAGUAGUUUAUUUAAAAGUACCAAUUUAGGUGUUAGUGAUAAUUUUUACUAAAACUAAAAUAAAAUAUAACUAAAAUAAAACAGAAAAGAAAUCAAUAAAAAGGGAAGAAUAAAAACAGUAAAACAAAGCUAACUAAAAUAAAGAGAAAAGGAACCCCCCCAACCCCCGGGCCAACUGGCCCAGCUGGCCAAGGCCCAACCGGCCAGCCCAACCGGCCCCUCAGUCCCCAUAACACCCCCCAUCGAUGGGAAACCCUAGCCCAUCGCACCCACGCCCCCCACUCGCUCCCCACGUCCCUCCUCCCCUCUCCCCCGAUCCAGAUCUGGAUCGGGGAUGAAACCCCCUCGACGUCGUUCCCCAUCGCGCCCGACCUCUUGCCACGUCAGAGCCCCACCUCGCCCGCGCGGCUGCGCCUGGGGAACCGUCGCCUGCCGCCGUCUCCAGUGCUGUCGUCGACCACCGCCGCCGCUCGAGGACCCGAAGCCGCCUGAUGAUGCCCCAUCGUCGUCACGUCCCCGUCCUCCUCCCCGCCGGACUGCGCCCGCCUCCCCGACGUCGUGACGACGCCUCGUCCCCGUCCUCCUCCACAACGGUCGCCCCCGAGCCUCGCCGCCCCGCUUCUCUCCAACGCUGGUGAGGCCACCUCCGGCCUACACUCCUUCCUUCCCCCACGCCAUCCCGCUCCGGUCACCGCUUCCCUACCACUGGCUUCGCCCCGACCGCCCCGCGCCUCGCAGGCCGUGCGCUGCUCGUGCGCCCGCCCAGGGCCUCGCCGUCGUUGCUUGCUACUCGCCCGGUUAAGCGCGGCGUCCCCCCGCAGCCGUCCAUGUGCCUUCGCCCGCCCCCACUGCCCGCCGCGGCCAUCCCUUUGCUGCCUCUGCUGGCCGCCGACACCGGCGUAUGCCGUGCGUGCCCAGCGCCCCUCGGGUGUGCGCCCGAUCGGGCAGCGCCCGUUCACCCACGCCCGUUUGGCCCUAUGGGCCAAUGACAUGUGGGGCUCAGCCCCUGGAACGUUUAAAAAAUAAUAAUAAAAAAAUAAAAAAAUAUUAAUAUUAAUUAAGUAACUAUUCAAUCAUGUUUAAUUAACUUAAUUAAUUACGUUUAAUUAACCUAAUCAAUUAACUAAACUAGUUAAACCUGUUUAGUUAGCAUUAGUCAAUGACAGGUGGGUCCCAUUGGACCCAUAGGCCAGGUUUGACUCUGGUCAGCUGGGUUUGACCUGCUGACAUCAUGGUGAUGUCAUGCUGACAUCACCUUUCACUGUUCUGGAUAAUGCUCAAAUUAAAUAAUUAAAUAAAUUCUAAAAAUGAUUUAAAACUUUAGAAAAUCAUAUAAAAUAAACCAUAGCUCAGAUGAAAAUACUUUCUACAUGAAAGUUGCUCAGAACGACGAGACGGAUCCGGAUACGAAUCCCGUUCGUCCGCCACACACUCCUAGCAUAGCAAACACGCAACUUUCCCCCUCCCGUUCAUCUGUCCGAAAACGCGAAACACCGGGAAUACUUUCCCGGAUGUUUCCCCCCUUCGUCGGUAUCACCUACUACCGCGUUAGGGCACACCUAGCACCGCGUAUUGCCAUGUUACACUUUGUGAUGCUUUGAUUGCUCUGUUAUUUAUUGUGUUCCCUCUCCGUUACUUCUUUCUGAUAGACCUCGAGACUGCUGGCGACCCCCAGUUCGACUACGAUGUUGACGACCCCUCCUUCUUGCCAGAGCAACCAGGCAAGCCCCCCCCUUGAUCACCAGAUAUCGCCUAUUCUUCUCUAUACUGCUUGCAUUAGAGUAGUGUAGCAUGUUGCUGUUCGGUUACUCCUAUUCUGUUGCAUAGCCUGUCAUUGUUGCUACAGUCAUUGAUACCUUACCCGCAAUCCUAAAUGCUUAGUAUAGGAUGCUAGUUUAUCAUCAUUGGCCCUACAUUCUUGUCAGUCUGCCUUGCUAUACUAUUGGGUCGUGAUCACUUGGGAGGUGAUCACGGGUAUAUACUAUACAUAUAUACAUACUAUAAAGAUGGUGACUAAAGCCGGGUCAGCUCGUUGAGUACCCGCAAGUGAUUCCGAUGUGGGGGCUGGAAGGACAGGUGGCUCCAUCCCGGUAGAGGUGGGCCUAGGUUCCCGACGGCCCCCGACUGUUACUUUGUGGCGGAGCGACAGGGCAGUUUGAGACCACCUAGGAGAGAGGUGGGCCUGGCCCUGGUCGGCAUCCGCGAUUACUUCAUAAUAACACGCUUAACGAGAUCUUGGUAUUUGAUCUGAGUCUGGCCACUGGCCUAUAUGCACUAACCAACUAUGCGGGAAAGAUAUGGGCACUCGACGUCGUGGUAUCAGCCGAAGCCUUCUUGACGUCAGCGACUGAGCGGCGCGCGCCGGAUUGGACCGCGUAACGUGACUUCCUUUGUAAUGGAGGUUGCUAGGUCUGCUUCAAGCCGCCCUCGCAACGUGCAGGUGUGCAAUGGGCGAUGGGCCCAGACCCCUGCGCGCAUAGGAUUUAGACCGGCGUGCUGACCUCUCUAUUGUGCCUAGGUGGGGCUGCGACGUGUUGAUCUUCCGAGGCCGGGCAUGACCCAGGAAAGUGUGUCCGGCCAAAUGGGAUCGAGCGUGUUGGGUUAUGUGGUGCACCCCUGCAGGGAAGUUUAUCUAUUCGAAUAGCCAUGUCCCUUGGUAAAAGGACGACCCGGAGUUGUACCUUGACCUUAUGACAACUAGAACCAGAUACUUAAUAAAACACACCCUUCCAAGUGCCAGAUACAACCCGGUGAUCGCUUUCUCACAGGGCGACGAGGGGAGGAUCGCCGGGUAGGAUUAUGCUAUGCGAUGCUACUUGGAGGACUUCAAUCUACUCUCUUCUACAUGCUGCAAGACGGAGGUUGCUAGAAGCGUAGUCUUCGACAAGAUUAGCUAUCCCCCUCUUAUUCUGGCAUUCUGCAGUUCAGUCCACUGAUAUGGCCCUUUACACAUAUACCCAUGCAUAUGUAGUGUAGCUCCUUGCUUGCGAGUACUUUGGAUGAGUACUCACGGUUGCUUUGCUCCCUCUUUUCCCCCGUUUUCCUCUUCUUCUCGGAUGCCGCAACCAGAUGUUGGAGCCCAGGAGCCAGAUGCCACCGUCGACGACGACUCCUACUACACCGGAGGAGCCUUCUACUACGUGCAGGCUGCUGACGACGACCAGGAGUAGUUAGGAGGAUCCCAGGCAGGAGGCCUGCGCCUCUUUCGAUCUGUAUCCCAGUUUGUGCUAGCCUUCUUAAGGCAAACUUGUUUAACUUAUGUCUGUACUCAGAUAUUGUUGCUUCCGCUGACUCGUCUAUGAUCGAGCACUUGUAUUCGAGCCCUCGAGGCCCCUGGCUUGUAUUAUGAUGCUUGUAUGACUUAUUUAUGUUUUAGAGUUGUGUUGUGAUAUCUUCCCGUGAGUCCCUGAUCUUGAUCAUACAUAUUUGCGUGCAUGAUUAGUGUACGAUUGAAUCGGGGGCGUCACAAGUUGGUAUCAGAGCCAACUGCCUGUAGGAAUCCCCCUUUCCAACUCCUUGGUCGAAGUUGAGUCUAGUCAAUGAAAAUUGUUUUACUAACUUGGCUGUGUGGCCCAUGGGCCUACGUCGCCAAUUGGGUGGUAUUAGGAUCUUUUAUUCCUCGACCUAUACUCUGGGACUCUAAUGUCUCCUCUAUUCGGGUUAAAUGAUUUUGCUAAAAAGACUAACUUUAGGUUCUCGAAAAUACUUUCUCCCGGAGAGCCCCUCCCUCCAGAUGAUCGCUUGCUGCACUAGAAGAUUCCAAAGAUACUCUUCGAGGUUUUUCCGAGACCCUUGUGCCCAUUGACUUUACAAUCCCCUACCACCGAUAUACCCUUAUGGAUAACUACCUACAAUUGUCGUUCAUACCUUCAUCCUUAGUUGCUCUUGUUAUUACAAGAUGCCUUAAAUUGCUCUCCGUUGUUCCGAAAAUCCUUUAAGCUUACUGCGUUGCAGUUCUUUACCACAUGAAUACCCCUAUUGAAAAUUCCUCGCACUUAUUGAGCAUCCGUUCAUCCUCGGUUGUUCGUAUGCUUCAUAAGAUACUCUGAAAUACUAUCCGACCUUCUGAGCAUCCUCUUCAAACUAUUGCUCUGCAAAUACUUGUAUGCUUACAUUAUGGAUGCUCCCAUAUCACUAGCAAUAUUCACUAGUAUCUUUUGACACUGUCAUUUUGAUCCUAUUGAUUCAACAUGUGUGCGAAUGCACACAAUCAUCAAUCGACCCUUCUAAAUUAUCUUUCCGGCUCAGACGUCAUUCUGAACAUGAGCUGGUUCUGGACCAAACUAUUUGUCGCCAAUUGUGCCUCUGGUCUAUCCAACUUAUCCAUCCUUGAUCAGAGUGUCUGCUUCUGAUCCCUUGUUUUGGAAAUCAUAAUUCCUUUGUUAUCUAAGCAUCGAAUUAUUCAGAUGUUCUAUAAUCUGAUGCCCAUGCAUUCUUUCUUCCUCUGAUUGAGUACAGAUACUCACAUCAGCUCCGUUGUGGAUCGCCCGAUCCAUUGUUGGAUUUCAUCCGACAUCGUCCUUCAUAUUCAAUAACCUUGUGAGCCUUUCCACGGGUGUAUAUUGCCUUUGGUAAAUUGUAUCCUCUGCUUGGCCAACCAUGCUCUGCUUUUGAGCUUGUGUAUUUACUUUUGAAACUUGUGGUAUAUGUUCUAAGAUGCCCCGAUGGGUUGAACCUAUGCCUUCCCUAAUCUGUGUGAACCCGGAAGUUUUCGCGGGUCAUACUCCUCUGGUAUUCACUAGGUAGGUUUUGACACUAAAAUCAUUUUUUUGGAGUGAAUGAAAGGUUAUGCAUUGGAGAAGUGGGAGUCGACCUUGAACUUAGUGAUCAUGCCCAUGGAAACGAUGUUGAGCUUAUCAUGAUAGCUUCUCGUAACAAUAAUUAUUCACUUAAUUUGAUCUUGUGUCUAUGAUUUUGUCCUUUGCAAUCGUGGUUCCGACCAUGAUUGUUCUUCUUUGAUCCCAUUCUCGGACAAGUUAAAAGUACUUGCCUUCUGCAGAUCAUUACAUCUGCCCAACCUCUAUUUGAUCUACAUUCAAGUAUUACCCCCUGGUAUCUCGAGGAUAUCAACCCAUUACACUACAUCUUAUGAAAGUAACUUUCCCCGUCACGGUCACUCCACGGGUUCUGGGUUGUCGUCAACCGAGAACAUUGAUUUGUGAAUCAAAUCAACACUGUGAUUCAGUACUUCUAGUACUUUGUUGUUGAGAAGUUUAAUACUCCAUCACGUCAUUCCGAGCCUGAUCGGCCACAUCAUUAUCGUGCUAAUUUAAACUGUGCUACCUGGUCCUUCCAGGAGCACAAGUUUUGAUGAUGAGCUAAGCUUACGCUGAUCUUCCUCGUCAUACCAUUUUGCCUUGAACAACAAGCUUGAUUUUGAGUUUGCAUCGUACUCGUGGUUUUAAUAACCUUUCGCGUCAUCAUUCCUUUGACUUGAUGUCAUCGCCGAUUGAUUACAUCUUCAUGAAAUCUCUCGAAAAUUUUGUUGUGAUCAUCAUCAAUAUUCCGAGCUCUUAUAGGAUAUCAAUUGAAUUCAUGAUGAGAAAGACCAUCCUUGCCCUUGAUGAUUAGUGUUAUCAUCGACCACUCUACUGCCUUCCCUCCAACACAAACUUGUUCGUGUUUUUGUGUUAUACCUUGAGUUCCUUGCUAUCCAGCGUUUGUUCUUCUUUACCUUGGAGUAUUACCAUCUUUUAUGUCAAGGAUGUUGUGAGGACUGCUCCACUUCUUAAGGAAUUCUUGUUAUUAUGAUACUUCUUACCCUCACCCUUCUUUCUUGGUCCCUGUGUUGAUUCUAACCAGGAUACCAACACGUGAACCAUGCUGCUUGGAUUCUGUACUUCUAGCAACCCUAUUUCUUUGAAGUUAAUGGUCGACAUUUCAUCCUUAGACCAUUGGUUAUCGAAUCAUCAUUCUAACAUUGAUCCUGCUACCUAAGCCCAUAUUUCGGGUGCACCUUUCAACCAGUGAUUAAUUGUGUAUGUUUCCCUCGAGCAUACAUCAUUAUAUCAUUUGAUCUGUUAAAUGUUAUCUCCUUGUUCACAUAAUUGUGGAAAUCCACCUUUUUGUAAAUCUCAAUGAAUUUUCGCUGAGCCCAUCAGCCACCUCCUCACCCUCCCCUUGAUUUAAGGAUGAACUCCUGCUUUGGAACUCGCUUCCAUAGUACAUUUCCCGAGAAUCUUACAAUGUCGUCUCGCCAAAUUGUGUUGCACCCCUUCCUUUUCAGGCAUCCUGAGUCUGAGCUAUCCUGACACCAAUCAGAUCCAAAUCUCGGGUCAGAUAUGAUGGUUUGAACUUAUUUCCAAGAGUUUUAACAUUGGUCUUUAUAUGACUCGGUAAGGUGAUGUCAUGCCUAGCACACCUGGCUGGGGAACCCAUUGUUAUAAUACCCCCUCUUUUCAGUAAGGUUAGCCAUUCUUCCAUAAGGGAAUUGUAAGACUUAUUCUAUAAGAUGUUCCUGAUGGAUCCUUGGUGUAUACAAAGCCUGAUCUUUGCUUGAAGACCAUGUCAGUGCUAUCUCGAAGCAUGUCUAUGGUACUCCGAUCUUCAACAAAAACAUUUGAAGCCCAAUGCUAAAUGUUUCCUGCUCGAUUAUCCAAACACCGUUGUAUGGGUAAUGUCAUGAAAAUUCUCUCCCCUACCUAAAGAGUUUACUACAUUAUAUUCUGUCAUGGAUAUCAUGCUCUGCUCGUCCUUCCGAAGGUUAUACCUUUGAAAUAUGUGCUUAAACACAUUUUCCUUUCCAUUGUUCUGUUUAAUCUGAUAAUCAUAUUUUUCUUUCCAUUUGUUGGGUUAACGUUUCUUGUGAUCUAUAUGAGCUAAGCAGUAAUAUUCUCCUGCUUAGGUAAACACCUCGGUUUACAACUCUAUAAGUGUGACCCUAUUACUAUUGCUGACGACAUCCUGGUAACCCCCGAUGGAUGAGAACUUUGCCUAUUGGUCCGCCUCGUUGAACGAGCAGGAAAAUGGUUCUCUUUGUCCCUCGCCCUUGGUACCAACGUUGUUGCCAACAUAACUGACAGGUUAUUCUUUUUUUAGAGAAAAGGCCAAAGCCCGACUUUAUAAAUAAAGCCACAUGGCAGCGUCACGAAUACCCAAGGUUCACACAGUCUCAGAAACACAAAGAGAAGUUAAAUAGGCCCAAAUUCCUAACGAAACAGGCAGCUGCCAAACACGGCACGCAGGCCGGGGAGAAAAGGAGACCUAAUCCCGCAAACUACAGCACCAGGCUUAUACGCCAUGAUUCGUCCUAGAGAUCUGAGAGGCUGAAGCCCGAAUUUUGGCGAUGAGCAGGUCCAGGGCGUCCCGAUCUGGCUCCUUAGUCAAUAAUCUCCACUGCUGCAAGAAUAUACAUGAUUUGAAAAGAACGUCAGCAGGCUUAGAUGGGAAGGUAAGAGACAGGUUAUUCUCUGACAUGCCUUGCUUACAUGAUCAUGCAAGAUGUCAUCCCCCUUCCUACCUUUAACCCACAUGGUGGGCCCAUAACCCACAGUUCCACAGGAUCGAAACCUGACUCUCCUGUACACCCUGUUGUCAAAGUUAUUCCUCACACUUGACUUCGUAUGUAAUUCACGAGCCACCUUCAGGUCUCAUAUCGGACACAAUACUUAUUCCCGUUGCUUUGACCCUUUCACGCCCUAUAACAGGCAUCAAACGAUUGCCCGCCCGCUCGAAACUUCCUAGGAUACCUCCUUACUUUGCUCUCGAUAUUUUCUUAAGUUUCAAUUCGAGAGUUACUUUCCGCCACCUUCCUCGAUGUUUUCGACCCGAUAGUCAACCUUGCCAAGGUCCGUUCUCCCAGAAUGCCCACCCUUUAUUCUUUCAUAAGUACGACGGAGUUCCUGAAGAAAGGACGCCGACUUCAUCAUGAUGACCUGAAGCAGAGAAGUGAAGACAUCAAUGCUAUGGAUCGACCUCUUUGAGAACAGCAACCAAGACCGAGAAGAAUCAUUAGAAUUUCGAAACCUAGUCUUUCCCCCUUACUCCCCUCUUAAAUCUCGGGACGAGAUUUCUUGUAGUGGAGGAGAAUUGUGACGCCCGGGUAAUUAAGCUACAGUAACCAUCUACUAAUGAUGCCACGUCACCUUGAUUACUGUUGCUAAUCUCGUGUUAGUUUAGAACCGAUCCAAAUUCAAAUUUAAGAUCAAGUCGAACAGUUAAAGUUUUCAAAAGUGAAAACUAAAAUGUUGUAAAUGUUUUAAUAAAUCCUGGGUAAUAGUGGUGGAGAAACCUAAAUUUAAUAAAAUGUUUAAGUGUUCAAAAUAAUUAAAACUAUGGGUUAAAUAAUAAAACAAAUGCCUUUGGAAUUUUAUAAAAUAUUAAACUAUUUUAAUUGGGAUGAAAAGUAAUGUGGCAGUAGUUUAUUUAAAAGUACCAAUUUAGGUGUUAGUGAUAAUUUUUACUAAAACUAAAAUAAAAUGUAACUAAAAUAAAACAGAAAAGAAAUCAAUAAAAGGGGAAGAAUAAAAACAGUAAAACAAAGCUAACUAAAAUAAAGAGAAAAGGAACCCCCCAACCCUCGGGCCAACUGGCCCAGCUGGCCAAGGCCCAACCGGCCAGCCCAACCGGCUCCUCAGUCCCCAUAACACCCCCCCACCGAUGGGAAACCCUAGCCCAUCGCACCCACGCCCCNNNNNNNNNNNNNNNNNNNNNNNNNNNNNNNNNNNNNNNNNNNNNNNNNNNNNNNNNNNNNNNNNNNNNNNNNNNNNNNNNNNNNNNNNNNNNNNNNNNNNNNNNNNNNNNNNNNNNNNNNNNNNNNNNNNNNNNNNNNNNNNNNNNNNNNNNNNNNNNNNNNNNNNNNNNNNNNNNNNNNNNNNNNNNNNNNNNNNNNNNNNNNNNNNNNNNNNNNNNNNNNNNNNNNNNNNNNNNNNNNNNNNNNNNNNNNNNNNNNNNNNNNNNNNNNNNNNNNNNNNNNNNNNNNNNNNNNNNNNNNNNNNNNNNNNNNNNNNGUCGUUCCCCAUCGCGCCCCGACCCCUUGCCGCGUCGGAGCCCCACCUCGCCCUCGCGACCGCGCCUGCGGAACCGUCACCUGCUGCCGUCCCCAACGCUUUCGUCGACCACCGCCGCCGCUCGAGGACCCGAAUCCGCCUGAUGAUGCCUCGCCGUCGUCAUGUCCCCAUCCUCCUCCCCGCCGGACUGCGCCCGCCUCCCCGACGUCGUGACGACGCCUCGUCCCCGUCCUCCUCCACAACGAUCGCCCCCGAGCCUCGCCGCCCCGCUUCUCUCCAACACUCGUGAGGCCACCUCCGGCCUACACUCCUUCCUUCCCCACGCCACCCCGCUCCGGUCGCUGCUUCCUUGCCACUGGCUUCGCCCCGACCGCCCCGCGCCUCGCAGGCCGUGCGCUGCUCGUGCGCCCGCCCAGGGCCUCACCGCCGUCGCUUGCUACUCGCUCGGCUGAGCGCGGCGCGCCCCCACAGCUGUCCAUGUGCCUUCGCCCACCCCCACUAACCGCCGCGGCCAUCCCUUUGCUGCCUCCGCUGGCCGCCGACACCGGCAUAUGCCAUGCGUGCCCAGCGCCCCUCGGGUAUGCGCCCAAUCGGGCAGCGCCCGUUCACCCGCGCCCUUGGCCCUAUGGGCCAAUGACAUGUGGGGCUCAGCCCCUGGAACGCUUAAAUAAUAAUAAUAAUAAUAAAAUAUAUAAAAAUAUAUAAAUAUUAAUUAAGUAACUAAUCAAUCAUGUUUAAUUAACUUAAUUAAUUACGUUUAACUAACCUAAUCAAUUAACUAAACUAGUUAAACAUGUUUAGUUAGCAUUAGUCAAUGAUAGGUGGGUCCCAUUGGACCCACAGGCCAGGUUUGACUCUGGUCAGCUGGGUUUGACCUGCUGACGUCAUGGUGAUGUCAUGCUGACAUCACCUUUCACUGUUCUGGAUAAUGCUCGAAUUAAAUAAUUAAAUAAAUUCUAAAAAUAAUUUAAAACUUUAGAAAAUCAUAUAAAAUAAACCAUAGCUCAGAUGAAAAUACUUUCUACAUGAAAGUUGCUCAGAACAACGAGACGGAUCCGGAUACGCAGCCCGUUCAUCCGCCACACACUCCUAGCAUAGCAAACACGCAACUUUUCCCCUCCGGUUCAUCUGUCCGAAAACGUGAAACACCGGGAAUACUUUCUCGGAUGUUUCCCUCCUUCGUCGGUAUCACCUACUACCGCGUUAGGGCACACCUAGCACCGCGUAUUGCCAUGUUACGCUUUGUGAUGCUUUGAUUGCUCUGUUAUUUAUUGUGUUCCCUCUCCGUUACUUCUUUCCGAUAGACCCCGAGACUGCUGGCGACCCCCAGUUCUACUACGAUGUUGACGACCCCUCCUUCUUGCCAGAGCAACCAGGCAAGCCCUCCCCUUGAUCACCAGAUAUCGCCUAUUCUUCUCUAUACUGCUUGCAUUAGAGUAGUGUAGCAUGUUACUGUUCGGUUACUCCUAUUCUGUUGCAUAGCUUGUCAUUGUUGCUACAGUCAUUGAUACCUUACCCGCAAUCCUAAAUGCUUAGUAUAGGAUGCUAGUUUAUCAUCAUUGGCCCUACAUUCUUGUCAGUCUGCCUUGCUAUACUAUUGGGCCGUGAUCACUUGGGAGGUGAUCACGGGUAUAUACUAUACAUAUAUACAUACUAUACAGAUGGUGACUAAAGUCGGGUCAGCUCGUUGAGUACCCGCAAGUGAUUCCGAUGUGGGGGCUGGAAGGACAGGUGGCUCCAUCCCGGUAGAGGUGGGCCUGGGUUCCCGAUGGCCCCUGACUGUUACUUUGUGGUGGAGCGACAGGACAGUUUGAGACCACCUAGGAGAGAGGUGGGCCUGGCCCUGGUCGGCGUCCGCGGUUACUUCAUAAUAACAUGCUUAACGAGAUCUUGGUAUUUGAUCUGAGUCUGGCAACUGGCCUAUACGCACUAACCAACUACGCGGGAAAGAUAUGGGCACUCGACGUCGUGGUAUCAGCCGAAGCCUUCUUGACGUCAGCGACUGAGCGGCGCGCGCUGGAUUGGACCUAACGUGACUUCCUUUGUAAUGGAGGUUACUAGGUCUGCUUCCGGCCGCCCUCGCAACGUGCAGGUGUGCAAUGGGCAAUGGGCCCAGACCCCUGCGCGCAUAGGAUUUAGACCGGCGUGCUGACCUCUCUGUUGUGCCUAGGUGGGGCUGCGACGUGUUGAUCUUCCGAGGCCGGGCAUGACCCAGGAAAGUGUGUCCGGCCAAAUGGGAUCGAACGUGUUGGGUUAUGUGGUGCACCCCUGCAGGGAAGUUUAUCUAUUCGAAUAGCCGUGUCCCUCGGUAAAAGGACGACCCGGAGUUGUACCUUGACCUUAUGACAACUAGAACCGGAUACUUAAUAAAACACACCCUUCCAAGUGCCAGAUACAACCCGGUGAUCUCUUUCUCACGGGGCGACGAGGGGAGGAUCGCCGGGUAGGAUUAUGCUAUGCGAUGCUACUUGGAGGACUUCAAUCUACUCUCUUCUACAUGCUGCAAGACGGAGGCUGCCAGAAGCGUAGUCUUCGACAAGAUUAGCUAUCCCCCUCUUAUUCUGGCAUUCUGCAGUUCAGUCCACUGAUAUGGCCCUUUACACAUAUACCCAUGCAUAUGUAGUGUAGCUCCUUGCUUGCGAGUACUUUGGAUGAGUACUCACGGUUGCUUUGCUCCCUCUUUUCCCAUGUUUUCCUCUUCUUCUCGGAUGCCGCAACCAGACGUUGGAGCCCAGGAGCCAGACGCCACCGUCGACGACGACUCCUACUACACCGGAGGAGCCUUCUACUACGUGCAGGCUACUGACGACGACCAGGAGUAGUUAGGAGGAUCCCAGGCAGGAGGCUUGCGCCUCUUUCGAUCUGUAUCCCAGUUUGUGCUAGCCUUCUUAAGGCAAACUUGUUUAACUUAUGUCUGUACUGAGAUAUUGUUGCUUCCGCUGACUCGUCUAUGAUCGAGCACUUGUAUUCGAGCCCUCGAGGCCCCUGGCUUGUAUUAUGAUGCUUGUAUGACUUAUUUAUGUUUUAGAGUUGUGUUGUGAUAUCUUCCCGUGAGUCCCUGAUCUUGAUCGUACACAUUUGCGUGCAUGAUUAGUGUAUGAUUGAAUCGGGGGCGUCACAAUCCUUGAGAAGCCCAGAAAAUAAACGGAUAACCUUUAAUAGUAGAAGAACCCGAGCGAAAUCAAACCAAGCCUCAGUAGCCACUUUGGACAAAAAGGAGGCUAAAUAUGUACCCGUGGUACAAGAAUUUUUGGAGUAUUUCCGGAAGAAUUACCCGGGAUGCCACCAGACAGGGAGAUAGAGUUCACUAUUGAUAUCAUCCCAGGUACGGCACCCAUAUCAAAACGAGCAUACCAUUUGUCCGCGGAAGAACUAAAGGAAUUAGGAAAACAAUUGGAUGAACAAGAAGAAAAGGAGUUUAUUAGACCAAGUGUGUCACCUUGGGCAGCACCAGUCUUAUUCAUUAAGAAAAAGUAUGAGGCUAUGUGUGGAUUAUCGAGCCUUGAAUGAGGCGACCAUUAAGAAUAAGUACCCACUACCACGGAUAGAUGAUCUAUUUGACCAAUUGAAAGGAGCCACCGUGUUAUCAAAAAUAGAUCUUUGGUCUGGGUACCACCAACUAAAAGUAAAGGAAGAAGAUAUACCUAAGACUGCUUUCAUAACCCGAUAUGGUCACCAUGAAUUCAUGGUUGUUUCCUUUGGGCUAACAAAUGCACCAGCAAUUUUCAUGAACCUGAUGAACCUAGUCCUCGUGCCCUAUUUAGAUAAUUUGUGGUAGUGUUCAUCGAUGACAUCCUCAUAUACUCUCGAAGUAUUGAGGAACAUGUUGAACACCUCCGAAUAGUGCUACAGACCUUGAGAGAAAAACAACUCUAUGCCAAAUUCAAAAAGUGUGAAUUUUGGCUAGAAGAAGUGUCCUUCUUAGGACACAUUAUAUCAGCGAAAGGGAUAGCAGUAGAUCCUGCUAAAGUGGAUGCAGUGUUGGCAUGGAAAUCCCCAAGCAACGUAACAGAGAUUCGUAGCUUCCUUGGUUUAGCUGGAUAUUAUCGAAGGUUCAUAGAAGGCUUCUCCCAGAAAGCAGCCCCUAUGAACAAAUUACUAAGGAAGGGAGUUCCAUUUGACUGGAAUGACAAGUGUGAGCAAAGUUUCCAGGAGUUAAAGAAACGGCUCACAACCGCUCCUGUAUUGGCUCUACCCGAACCAGGCAAAGCAGUCACAGUAUAUUGUGAUGCCUCUAGAGUUGGUUUGGUAUGUGUGCUAAUGCAAUAUGGGAGAGCCAUAGCCUAUGCCUCUCGCCAGUUAAAGCCCCAUGAACAAAACUACCCCAACCAUGACCUCGAGUUAGUUGCCGUGGUAUUUGCGUUGAAGAUGUGGAGGCACUACCUUUAUGGAAACCGUUGUGAACUAUACACGAACCAUAAAAGCCUCAAGUAUAUCUUCACGCAAAAGGAGUUGAAUAGGAGACAAAGACGAUGGUUAGAACUCAUUAAGGAUUAUGACCUUAGUGUCAACUACCACCCAGGAAAAGCUAAUGUGGUGGCAGAUGCCCUUAGCCGAAAAACCUCAUGCAAUCAUGUCAAGAUGCCAACCUAUGAUAAGCAUAUGAUACCUGAGCAGAAGAUGAUGGGAAUUGAAUUCAUACAUAAACUGGUUGAGAAAAUCCUAACCGCAUUAGCAAUCAGACCCGAUUAGUUGGACAAAAUCAAGGAAAACCAGACCAAAGAUGAGUUUAUUUGUGAGGAAAAGCGCAGAAUACAAGAUGGUCAACCAUCAGAAUUCUGAAUAGCGGAAGAUGGAUCACUCUGGUAUUAAACCCGAGUAUGUGUGCCAAAUAUCUUGGAUAUUAAGCAGAUAAUACUCCAGGAGGCACACAACACUCCAUACACCAUACACCCUGGUAGCACAAAAAUGUACCGGGAUGUCAAGGGUACAUUUUGGUGGAGAAAUAUGAAAAGAGAAAUUGCUCAGUAUGUGGAUGAGUGUGACACUUGUAAGAGAGUCAAGGCAGAACACGAGUGACCACCAGGCUUAUUGCAACCUCUCCAAAUUCCACAAUGGAAAUGGGAGGAAAUCCACAUGGACUUUAUCACCGGACCGCCCAAAACAAGAAAACGAGAGGAUAUCAUAUGGGUCAUAGUUGACCGACUCACUAAAUCUGCCCAUUUUAUCCCUUUAGCCCCGGGUUGUUCCAGAGAAAAAUUGGUUGAGCUAUAUAUCCACAUGAUAGUAGCUCUACAUGGGAUACCUUCCAGAAUAGUGUCAGAUCGUGGAUCUAUGUUUACAUCCAAGUUCUGGGAAAAAUUACAAGAAGCAUUAGGAACAAAAUUGGAUUUUAGUACCGCUUACCACCCCCAUACUAGCGGUCAAGUCGAGAGGGUGAAUCAAAUCAGAGAGGACAUGCUAAGGGAUUGUGUGCUAGAUUUUGGUGACUCAUGGAGCAAGCACUUGCCCUUAGCAGAGUUCGCUUAUAACAAUAGCUACCAAGCUAGUAUUGGUAUGUCCCCAUUUGAGGCCUUAUACGGUCGAAGAUGCCGAACCCCAAUAUGUUGGGUGGAAACCGGAGAAAAGAAACUCUUAGCACCCGACUUGGUCCAAGAGACCGAGGAAAAAGUUUCCAUAAUUACAGAGCGGCUCAACACGGCGCAAAGCCGGCAAAAGAGUUACGCGGACAAGAGACGACGUGAUAUACAAUAUCAACCCGGAGACUUUGUUUAUUUAAAAGUCUCACCAAUUAAAGGUGUUAAGUGCUUUGGAUUACAAGGAAAACUAAGUCUGCGAUAUAUUGGUCCCUAUCGAAUCUCAAAAAGAAGAGGGACGGUGGCGUACAAAUUAGAAUUGCCAACGCACCUACAAGGGGUUCAUGACGUAUUUCAUGUUACCCAAUUACGCAAGAGUGUAAAUCCACCAUAUGAGAGAGUCUCGGAGGAAGAAUUAACCCUCCGAAAGGACCUAAUGUAUGAGGAGCAUCCUAGUCGUAUUCUGGACAUCGAGGAAAAAGAAACUCAGGAGUAAAACAACUAAAUAUUGCAAGGUGCAAUGGGGAAAGCAUCCAGUGCGAGAAGCGACUUGGGAAAAAAAGGAUGAGCUUCGAGAAAAAUACCCUUACCUUUUCAAGGUGCAACUUAAAUUUCGAGGGCGAAAUUUUCUCUAAGGGGGAUAGGAUGUAAGAACCGUCAAAAUUAGAUAACGAUAACUUUAACGGCGUUGCCCAAACAUUAAUUAAAAUAAUGGAAACACCUCACAUUUAAUUUUUAUUAUAGCAAAUAGCAUUUGACCAUGCACAACAAAAUAUUCUCCAAAUCUUCAUAUGUUCUACAAAUUUAUAAUCAUAUCUUGGUCUCAUUUCUUUCACAUAAAGUAAAUGCCAACUAAUGGCCAGCCAAGCAAAUUACACUUGUCCCUAGUACAGCCUACAAGAGACACAAGUGGAGGCAUGCAUGUAAGCCUAACCACACAUGCAUGCCAGAUGUAAUGCCUCUCCAAACCGACAUAGCUACUAACCCCACUACAAAUAGGAGCCGUUCCUUUCACUAUGGUCCAUUCCACCUCACACACACACACACUGGAGUACCCCCACCACUUGCCUUUUCACCUUCUGCCACACUGCUGUCCUUCACUGCGGUGAAGCCCUUUGGAUUGCAUGCACCACCAGGUACUAAUCAAGUACCUUGUUGUGUUACCCUUUUUGCUUGAAUUCUUAUGUAUCUUCAUCUCGGUUUGAAUCAGUCCAUGAGCAUCUAUUCACCUUGAUCUAUUUACCUUGCUGUAAAAAGAACAAAAUGUUUGCAUAAACACCCAAGUUAAUCAAAACUAAUUAGAUCAAUUGCAAAAGCUUGUAAAAGUUUCUGUGAAUGACAUCUACGGCUCGUACUAGAUCUAACAUGCCAAGAAUCAAAUCCUAAGUACUAGAUCUAACAUGCCAAGAAUCAAAUCCUAAGUACUAGUAACUUGCUAAGACAUGUAUGUGUGUAUCCAAAAGAUGAAUCUUCCUGUGUAUACUACCUUGUUCUAAUUAUUAAUCCCCGCCAAUGUAUAGAAAACAUUGAAUGAUUGAUGUUUAUAAUCUACUCACAAGUAAUUAAUUUUGGAGCUUCACUGCCACUAUUUGCUUCUAUAUGGUGUUCAAGGAUGAGUAGCACUAGUUAGGAACAACAUUUAGAUCUAAUCAGUAGCAAUACCAUGACCACGCCAUAGAUUAAAUCUUGACUAAUUUCAUGGCCUUGAGAUAAACAAAGAGAAAGAAGGCAAUAUGGCUGAGUGGGCAAUAGUAGGGCCUGAGAUAAAAUGAACAAUAUAUGCACACCCACAUUGACAUCUAGCAAGCACUUGAUGUAAAAUUUGGAACACUUGAUGUAGAAGGAAUCAAAAUUACUCCCUCCGUUUCUAAAUACUUGUCUUUCUAGAGAUUUCAACAAGUGACUACAUACGGAGCAAAAUGAGUGAAUCUACAUUCUAAAAUAUGUUUAUAUACAUCCGUAUGUGGUAACCAUUUGAAAUUCCUAGAAAGGCAAAUAUUUAGAAACGAAAAGAGUAGUAUUUACCAGUAGUAGCAGUAGGAUGUGGCUAGUCCACACCGUUAGCAGCAGAGCCAUGCGACCGAGCAGCGCCGGUGAAGCCGCACACGCCCGACGCCCCUGGCUGCACGCCUCCUGCGUGUGGCUGCGCUUUGGGAGGAUGUAGGCAUGGAGAUGUCGUUGCCGCUCCAGCCGGUGGCAAGCCCACCGGACCUGAAUCAGGUGGUGCUAGGAUUGAGUGGUGGUGACGUUUUUGGUGGCGGCGGAUAAAAUAAAUAGGAGGAAAUGGUUGAGGGAGACGAGGAGAAUCUGUAGGUGUCCACCGUGUCGCCGGAGAUGACCAGAUGUGGCAGAUCGAGGAGGCGGCGGCCAUGCUCUGUUCUUGGGGAGAGAGAGAGAGAGGUGGGUGGCUGGUUCUGUUCUUGGGAUAGCAGAGAAGACGAGGAGAGAAACGAGCUGGGUUCAAUGAGUAAAAUACUAGUAGUGCAGUACUAGGCUACUGUUUCCUUUUUACUUAUCUUUUUUUACUCUCUGGGCUGGAUGGCAUACGUGCAUGCUACUCUGAUUUGGAUGGCUUGAUGCAUUUUAUCUCUCAAUGAAACACUAGGAUGUACGACAACCUAGUUAAUUAAUUAUGGCUUGCCCAACAUGACCGUGUUGCUGGAUCUUUAGAUUUAAAAUUAGGAAAUAUAAACAUGUUUGUGAAAUAAUUAUCAGGAGCCGAUCUCGGAUCCGUAGGAGCCACGUCCGGUGGUUCCGAGUUGGUCGAAGCACUAUUCGGCAAGUCGUCAUCUCCUUGACCAUGUCUUGAUAAAUGUUUUCCGGGCUAUGGGUCAUUUCCAAAAUUUUGCAUAAGAAUUAAAAAUAAAUAUUUUCCAUAAAUAAAAUGAAAUUUGGAUCAGGUGGAUCCACUGAUUUGGCAAUUGGACCAGAUCAGGUGAAGCAUCUGUAUUAAGUAGUUGUGUCCCGGGUAGGGUUACAAUAUAAAUAAAUAUUUGGUGGGUAGGGGAGCUCAUGUUGGUGAAAGCAACCCAGGGAGGGUCGGCUUGGAUGGCGGGCUCAUCUACAUAGGGUAUCAUAUUAGGACACAACCAACUGGCGCUUACUUCAAAAGUGGCGCAAACCGUACUGACCAUAGACCUGGAAUGGGAUGGGCUGAACCAACUACCCAUGCCAAGUAGCUGCCUCUGCAUGGGUGAGAAGGUGGCUGUAGCCGGGUAGGUACAGUCACCCUAGGGCGAGACCGCCGGUCAGGGGUCUCGACCCGCGGUCCUUUAGUAAGGCAAGGUGGAAAAGCAGAGGUAGUGUACGGGCUGGUUAAAGGUUCUGGUUCCAUGGUCUAGUCGUGUGCACGGGUAGCGCAUGGACGACUUGGACCAAGUGAUGCUAUGGGCAAAGCAGUACACCUCUGAUCAGAGUAAAUGUGAUAUCACUCCCAGCUUCCGGGUUUGGAAGUGCGUCGUGUGGGUUUUCCUCUCACACAAGAUUUAAGAUCCCACGUCGCUCUGUUGCCAGUAGAUUUUAUAAAUAAAAUUUGGUUUUCAACAAAAUGGGUUAAGGGAAAAUAUUUUUACCUACAAAGUAUUUUGAGUUAAUGGCUUGGUGGUUGUAGCCGUGGCCGAUAAAGUUUUUCCUCUUUAAAGACUCAUGCAUCCACUUUUCCCGGCGACUUGCGGAGUACGUAUUUUAUACGUACUCAGUUGCACUUAUGUUGUUUUCAGAACAAGAGAGUUAUGAGAACUCUGAGGCGAUAGAGAAUGGUACUUAUGAUGAGUCUGGUCAUCUUAAUGACUUCGGUUAUUCUGAAGUGGAGUAUGUUUACGAGGAAGUCAAUAAUCAAGGCUAUGAAGAGUAGAUGCCCUCCAUGGUUGGUCUAGAAGGCUCGUAACUAGAAGUGGAUGACGACCCAUCGUCAUGGUCGCUUAGGCUUAGUCGACGCUUGAGGUGUCAAUGUAAUAAAAGCUUGCCUACUCAUGGCUGCUGCACCGUCUUGUACAUGAUAUUGUUCUCCUUAACUGAUCCUGGUGCAACUCUGAAGUGACGGCUUCCGUUACGCUUGACUCUGUCGGACGUAACGGGGCAUCACAGAAGAGGUGGUAUCAGAGCCCCGUUAAGGAAACAGUCAUGUACUUAGUUAGAGACCGUCCGAGCCCAAGGAAAGAUAGGUUCGCUCCUUACCUAAAAUAAAAUAAGAGUUCUGAAAAGAAAAUCAUCCCUUCUCAAGUUCCACCUCUCCUAUGUAUAUAUACGUUUUGUGUAAAAAAUAUAUAACUCAAGUCAAGUGAAGAUUAAAUAAUUUAGACCACACAAUUGUGCAAGAAAAAUGUUUUUAUUUUUACUGUCCUAGGUAAAUUAAUUUUGCAUUGUGUUAUAACUAACUAAAUUCUUAAUUGCUUAAUGUAGGAUGACGAGUGGUAGGUUGUUUGGUACGGAUGCUGAGUAUGGUGGUUUUGCUCUGUUCUUGGUUAAGCUUCUUGGUCUUCUGGGUGUGUUGAUUGCACCAUACUACAUAGUGUUUCAUGACCCGUGUUUCACGACCCGUGUUCCACGGGGUACUUAGUCACGGUGCACAUUCCUGAGAGCUUAGAUGUCCCUUCUAGGUCAGUGUUGCACGUUAUGACUUUGUUUCAGCACUUCAGGGUGCGGCACCAGAUGCCGCUUUACACCUUUUCCACGUCUAUCACCCUCUCCUUGAGUACGUGGGCAGAGGCGAGUGGCCUCAUCAGUUAGAGGAGGCAGUGACCUCUUCCCAUUGUCGCUCCUUCGCCUUUUGCGUCCACUUCCGCUUUCCCUCCACUUCCACCACGUCCUCCUGUCUUACCACCCACAUUUUUACCACCACCAGCUCCGACUGCCGCUCGUCCACCUCUGUUCCUGACGGUUCCACCCACUCGUGUAGGCCGCCCAGCUCCUAGAGUCUUCAGGGGUUCCUCCUCUCGAGCAGUGUCACGUCCCUCCACACCGUACGAGCGUCCACCUACACCUCACAUUGUUCAGGACCUGUUAGAUCAGGUUGACACUCUUCAGAGGCGCUGCUCCGAGCUCGAGCGGGCGAAUAGCGAGAUGUCCUCUGCGUUGAGGGACUACACCCGUCCAGGUAUGGCCCUCAACCCUCUUUAGAUCGACAGCUCACCUUCCGCCUCUCUAGGCCAGAUAGGGUACCCGAUUGACCAGGAGUCUCCUGUCGCCGCCGAGCCUUCCUCUCAGGUUGCUCCUACCCUGAGUUCCGUUGUAGUGCCACCACCUCUAGAGCACACUCCCCACACUCCACCAGGUUCUCCGCCCUUCGUCCCUGCUCCACCUUCUCCUGAUGGCACCCCCGAGUUUUCAGUGAUCGGCGUCACUUACUCAGAGCUUCUAGCACUUGACUCCCGCCAGGUGUCUUCUCAGCCCACAGAGUACCUCGUGUCGCUUCUGACGUCACUCCCUCUGAGCACACUCCUUCCGAGUACCUGCUUAGCACCAUCAGUGUACCCGAGUCUGAUGUUGCUGCACCGAGUGUGUCUCUGUCAGCGCCGACUUCUGCCCUCGACCCCGACUUGCUCCUCACCGUUUCAUCUAGUACUCUUGUCAGGGAGGAUUGACUUGCUACCAGUAGUAGUAGUAGUUAGUAUUCUGGCAAGGUUGUAGCAUCGUGCUAGAUAGCUACUCCUCCCAGAGUUAGUUCCGCCAUUUAUUAGAUGUUUAGGCAGAUGCAUGGAGGUUGUCCUUUUGGAUCUUGUACAUAUCUGGAAAGGUCUUGGGGCCGUAGCUACCCUUCCACAGUUUGCACAGCUGUAGUUAGUCAGACUAGUUCCGACGGACAGAUAGGUCGGCAGGUAUACUUUUGUUCCAGGUACACGUGUAGAUAGCCGUGGUAGCCUGAUGAUGCAUGACAUAGAGUCAUAUGUGGUGUUGUUACUAUGUUAUGUGAUGUAUCCAUGUGGACUGGUGGACUUAUGGAUGUACUGAUAUUCUAUUACUAGAUGAUCUCGUGUGAUGCAUGUGCCAUGCCUCCAUGUUCAUUUUUUUAUUUUUUUAUGCAUUCCUAACUCUGUUGAAUAGAAUAUUGUAUGUGAUGAUGCUGCUACAUUUUUGCUAGUACUUCAUAAUGACAUCUGAUGUAUGGUAAAUUUCAUUUGGUGAUCUCCUUCACUCAAUUACAUGCCUUGAUACAUCACGUGUUGGGCCAGUAUAUAUGUGCUGAUGCUGCUACAUUUUUCCUAGCACUUCAUAAGUUAAAAUGAUGUAUGUCCGACACGUGAUGACUAUAUGCUUUUAGUCAUGUACGUGAAGAUCUUGUGUGUGGGCGUGCAUGUGCAAGUGGCUCUAUUUUUUUAACUUAUGAUUAAUCUCUUGUCUCUGCUAUGAUAAAAAAAAUCACUUUGUCUGACUGUAUUUAUUCUUUGGCCAACAACCAGUAAAAAAAUCUAGUACCCCACAGUUAAGUGCACUGAUUAAAGUGAUGCUCAAAGAAUAGCAAAUGAAGGUAAGCGUGAUGCGUACUGUUUGAGCUAAAAUCUCAUCACUAAUUAAACAAAUAAAAUUAUUUUACAUAAAGUAGCUAUCGUAAUAACCUAUGUCUUGCCCACCAGUUUGGUAGCGAUGGCAUCUGGUAGCCAGUCGUUCGAAGACAAUGGGAACCCAUCAGAUUUAGCCCGAGUCGCUAAGGAACAUGGCAGAUUUGCCAUCUAGAGUGACGUUACCUCCACUGCCACCAUUACCCGCUCAUGCCCUGGGAUCCGAUCAACUUGCUCUAAUGUACCAGUGGAUGGAGCAUUCUCGUCGAGACUCUCUAGAACACCAAAAUAAGUUCAUAGAACAGAUGUUUGGUAUGAUGAGAGGUCAACUGACUAAAAACUCAGAACAUAGUGUCACGAUUGGAGACUUCCAAAAUACUAGACCACCAACCUUUUCAACUGCCAUAGAUCCAUUAGCCGCAGAUGAUUGGUUGAUGGACAUAGAGCUUAAACUUAACACUGUGAGAUGCACGGAUCAAGAAAAGGUUCGGUAUGCAUCCCAUCAGUUAAUUGGUCCUGCUGCCACAUGGUGGAGAAAUGUCCAAAUUAGCAUACCAGAAAACCACAUAGUCACUUGGGACGAAUUUAAGAGGAGAUUCCGAGAUAACUAUGUCCAGCAAAGUGCGAUGGAAAUAAAAAGGAAGGAAUUCCUGAACCUUAAUCAAGGGUCUAAAACCAUCGCAGAGUACCUAGAUGAAUUUAACUCACUAUCCCGCUAUGCAUCAGAGGACACAAACACUGAUACCAAAAAGGUGUACCGGAUCAUAGAAGGACUGAACCCAUCCAUACAACUUAUUAUAGCUCCUAUAAAAAUAACUGAGUUCCGGGAGCUAGUAGACCGAGUCAUUACAAUCGAGAACCAGCAAAUCAUCGUAGAGGAAGAGCGCAGGAAGAAAGAUAGGAUGGAACCAAGGUUUGCCGUGAGAAGUGGAAAUCGUCCUGUUGGCCUAGUCCGCGUGCCAAUGGUCGGGCCCAUCCGUCCUCCUUUCUGUAAAGCUCAUAGACCACCUUUUAUGCCUCCGAGAGCCCCUAUCAAAUGUCACGUGUGCAGUGGACCACACUUGGCUCGAGAUUGCCCAAAGGCGAGUGUUGUUUGUUUUUGUUGUGGACAAAAGGGACACUACAAAAACCAGUGCCCAAGCAAGAGUCAACCACAAUCUGGCACAAAUGGAGCUGUCCCACCUCAAAAUAAGCGUCAGGCUAAUUCAGCCCAAGUACACGGGAAUGCGUUUACUGCCAACCGCGGGCGUGGUCAUGGCGGUCUCACACGUGGACCAUUCCGCCUGGCACAUAUGGAUGUGGCACAAGUGGAGUCAGCUUCAGACAGAGUGACGGGUAACCUACUAAUCCCUCCUAGAGUAGGACUAGUAUUGUUUGACCCAGGAGAAACAUAUUCUUUCAUAUCACAACGCUUUGUUGAGACGCAUAAUCUGGACCGGACCCCCCUAGCCAAACCCAUAAAAGUAGAUUCACCAGGAGGCCCAAUAAUUGUUGAGCAUGUUUGCCACAACCGUCCCUUUUGCAUUGAGGGCAUAACCUUUAAUGCUAGCCUAUUUAUCAUUGGCCUAAUAGGGCUAGACGUUAUUCUUGGAAUGGACUGGUUAGCGAGUCAUGGAGCAAGAAUGGAUUGUCCAGAAAAUCCAUAUCCUUGAGAAGCCCAGAAAAUAAAUGGAUAACCUUUAAUAGUAGAAGAACCCGAGCAAAAUCAAACCAAGCCUCAGUAGCCACUUUGGACAAAAACGAGGCUAAAGAUGUACCCAUGGUACAAGAAUUUUUGGACGUAUUUCCAGAAGAAUUACCCGGGAUGCCACCAGACACGGAGAUAGAGUUCACUAUUGAUAUCAUCCCAGGUACGGCACCCAUAUCAAAACGAGCAUACCGUAUGUCUGCGGAAGAACUAAAGGAAUUAAGAAAACAAUUGGAUGAACUAGAAGAAAAGGGGUUUAUUAGACCAAGUGUGUCACCUUGGGCAGCACCAGUCUUAUUCGUUAAGAAAAAGGACGAAAGUAUGAGGCUAUGUGUGGAUUAUCGAGCCUUGAAUGAGGCGACCAUUAAGAAUAAGUACCCACUACCAUGACUAGAUGAUCUAUUUGAUCAAUUGAAAGGAGCCACUGUGUUCUCAAAAAUAGAUCUCCGAUCUGGGUACCACCAACUAAAAGUAAAGGAAGAAGAUAUAAUUAAGACUGCUUUCAUAACCCGAUAUGGUCACCAUGAAUUCAUGGUUAUUCCCUUUGGGCUCACAAAUGCACCAGCAGUUUUCAUGAACCUGAUGAACCUAGUCCUCAUGCCAUAUUUAGAUAAGUUUGUGGUAGUGCUCAUCAAUGACAUCCUCAUAUACUCUCGAAGUAUUGAGGAAUAUGUUGAACACCUCCGAAUAGUGCUACGGACCUUGAGCGAAAAACAACUCUAUGCCAAAUUCAAAAAGUGUGAAUUUUGGCUAGAAGAAGUGUCCUUCUUAGGACACAUUAUAUCAGGGAAAGGGAUAGUCGUAGAUCCUGCUAAAGUAGAUGCAGUGUUGGCAUGGAAAUCCCGAACCAACGUAACAGAGAUUCAUAGCUUCCUUGGUUUAGCUGGAUAUUAUCGAAGGAUCAUAGAAGGCUUCUCCCAGAAAGCAGCCCCUAUGACCAAAUUACUAAGUAAGGGAGUUCCAUUUGACUGGAAUGAUAAGUGUGAGCAAAGUUUUCAACAGUUAAAGAAACGGCUCACAACCGCUCCUGUAUUGGCUCUACCCGAACCAGGCAAAGCAUUCAUAGUAUAUUGUGAUGCCUCUAGAGUUGGUUUGGGAUGUGUGCUAAUGCAAGAUGGGAGAGCCAUAGCCUAUGCCUCUCGCCGGUUAAAGCCCCAUGAACAAAACUACCCCACCCAUGACCUCGACUUAGUUGUCAUGGUAUUUGCGUUGAAGAUGUGGAGGCACUACCUUUAUGGAAACCGUUUUGAACUAUACACGGACCAUAAAAGCCUCAAGUAUAUCUUCGCGCAAAAGGAGUUGAAUAUGAGACAAAGACGAUGGUUAGAACUCAUUAAGGAUUAUGACGUUAGUGUCAACUACCACCCAGGAAAAGCUAAUGUGGUGGCAGAUACCCUUAGCCGAAAAACCUCAUGCAAUCAUGUCAAGAUGCCAACCUAUGAUAAGCAUCUGAUACCUGAGCAGAAGAUGAUGGGAAUUGAAUUCAUACAUAAACCGGUUGAGAAAAUCCUAGCCACAUUAGCAAUCAGACCCAAUUUGUUGGACGAAAUCAAGGAAAACCAAACCAAAGAUGAGUUUAUUUGUGAGGAAAAGCGCAGAAUACAAGAUGGUCAAUCAUCAGAAUUCCGAAUAGCGGAAGACGGAUCACUUUGGUAUAAAACCCGAGUAUGUGUGCCAAAUAUCUUGGAUAUUAAGCAGAUAAUACUCCAGGAGGUACACAACACUCCGUACACCAUACACCCUGGUAGCACAAAAAUGUACCGGGAUGUCAAGGAUACAUUUUGGUGGAGAAAUAUAAAAAGAGAAAUUGCUCAGUAUGUGGACGCGUGUGACACUUGUAAGAGAGUCAAGGCAGAUCACCAGCGACCACCAGGCUUAUUGCAACCUCUCCAAAUUCCACAAUGGAAAUGGAAGGAAAUCCACAUGGACUUUAUCACUGGACUGCCCAAAACAACAAAAUGAGAGGAGAUCAUAUGGGUCAUAGUUGACCGACUCACUAAAUCUGCCCAUUUUAUCCCUUUAGCCCCGGGUUGUUCCAGAGAAAAAUUGGCUGAGCUAUAUAUCCACAGGAUAGUAGCUCUACAUGGGACACCUUCCAGAAUAGUGUCAGAUCUAUGUUUGCAUCCAAGUUCUGGGAAAAAUUACAAGAAGCAUUAGGAACAAAAUUGGAUUUUAGUACCGCUUACCACCCCCAGACUAGCGGUCAAGUCGAGAGGGUGAAUAAAAUCAUAGAGGACAUGCUAAGGGCUUGUGUGCUAGAUUUUGGUGAUUCAUGGAGCAAGCACUUGUCCUUAGCAGAGUUCGCUUAUAACAAUAGCUACCAAGCUAGUAUUGGUAUGUCCCCAUUUGAGGCCUUAUACGGUCGAAGAUGCCGAACCCCAAUAUGUUGGGUGGAAACCGGAGAAAAGAAACUCUUAGCACCCGACUUGGUCCAAGAGACCGAGGAAAAAGUUCGCAUAAUUAGAGAGCGGCUCAAGACGGCGCAAAGCCGGCAAAAUAGUUGUGCGGAUAAGAGACGAUGUGAUAUACAAUGUCAACCCGGAGACUUUGUUUAUUUAAAAGUCUCACCAAUUAAAGGUGUCAAGCGCUUUGGAGUACAAGGAAAACUAAGUCCGCGAUAUAUUGGUCCCUAUCGGAUCUUAAAAAGAAGAGGGGCGGUGGCGUACAAAUUAGAAUUGCCAACGCACCUAUAAGGGGUUCAUGACGUAUUUCAUGUUUCCCAAUUAAGCAAGAGCGUAAAGUCACCAUUUGAGAGAGUCUCGGAGGAAAAAUUAACCCUCCGAAAGGACUUAACGUAUGAGAAGCAUCCUAGUCGUAUUCUGGACACCGAGGAAAAGAAACUCAAGAGUAAAACAACCUAAAUAUUGCAAGGUGCAAUGGGGAAAUCAUCCGGUGCGAGAAGCGACUUGGGAAAAAGAGGAUGAGCUUCGAGAAAAAUAUCCUUACCUUUUCAAGGUGCAACUUAAAUUUCAAGGACGAAAUUUUCUCUAAGGGGGAUAGGAUGUAAGAACCGUCAAAAUUAGAUAACGAUAAUUUCAACGGUGUUGCCCAAACAUUAAUUAAAAUAAUGGAAACACCUGACAUAUAAUUUUUAUUAUAGGAAAUAGCAUUUGACCAUGCACAACAAAAUAUUUUUCAAACCUUCAUAUGUUCUACAAAUUUAUAAUCAAAUCUUGGUCUCAUUUUUUCACAUAAAGUAAAUGUCAACUAAUGGCUAGCCAAGCAAAUUACACUUGUCCCUAAUACAGCCUACAAGAGACACAAGUGGAGGCAUGCAUGCUAGCCUAACCACUCAUGCAUGCCAGAUGUAAUGCCUCUCCAAACCGACAUAGCUACUAACCCCACUAUAAAUAGGAGCCGUUCCUUUCACUAUGGUCCAUUCCACCUCACACACAAACACAUACACUGGAGUACCCCCACCACUUGCCUUUUCACCUUCUGCCACACUGUUGUCCUUCACUGCAAUGAAGCCCUUUGGGUUGCAUGCGUCACCAGGUACUAAUGAAGUACCUUGUUGUGUUAC
rnacentral:lncRNA from 1 species